rfam:Camponotus floridanus CamFlo_1.0_3.contig2555, whole genome shotgun sequence.
GGCUGAAUAGCUCAGUGGUAAGAACAGUCGCUCGGCAAGCGAAAGACUCGGGUUCGAUUCGCGAUUCAGCGA